rnacentral:rRNA from 1 species
UGGGGAAUUUUGGACAAUGGGCGAAAGCCUGAUCCAGCAAUGCCGCGUGUGUGAAGAAGGCCUUCGGGUUGUAAAGCACUUUUGUCCGGAAAGAAAUCCUUGGCUCUAAUACAGUCGGGGGAUGACGGUACCGGAAGAAUAAGCACCGGCUAACUACGUGCCAGCAGCCGCGGUAAUACGUAGGGUGCAAGCGUUAAUCGGAAUUACUGGGCGUAAAGCGUGCGCAGGCGGUUUGCUAAGACCGAUGUGAAAUCCCCGGGCUCAACCUGGGAACUGCAUUGGUGACUGGCAGGCUAGAGUAUGGCAGAGGGGGGUAGAAUUCCACGUGUAGCAGUGAAAUGCGUAGAGAUGUGGAGGAAUACCGAUGGCGAAGGCAGCCCCCUGGGCCAAUACUGACGCUCAUGCACGAAAGCGUGGGGAGCAAACAGGAUUAGAUACCCUGGUAGUCCCACGCCCUAAACGAUGUCAACUAGUUGUUGGGGAUUCAUUUCCUUAGUAACGUAGCUAACGCGUGAAGUUGACCGCCUGGGGAGUACGGUCGCAAGAUUAAAACUUAAAUGAAUUGACGGGGUCAUAGCUGUUUCC